AGCGAACGCUGGCGGCAGGCCUAACACAUGCAAGUCGAACGGACCCUUCGGGGUUAGUGGCGGACGGGUGAGUAACACGUGGGAACGUGCCUUUAGGUUCGGAAUAGCUCCUGGAAACGGGUGGUAAUGCCGAAUGUGCCCUUCGGGGGAAAGAUUUAUCGCCUUUAGAGCGGCCCGCGUCUGAUUAGCUAGUUGGUGAGGUAAAGGCUCACCAAGGCGACGAUCAGUAGCUGGUCUGAGAGGAUGACCAGCCACAUUGGGACUGAGACACGGCCCAAACUCCUACGGGAGGCAGCAGUGGGGAAUCUUGCGCAAUGGGCGAAAGCCUGACGCAGCCAUGCCGCGUGAAUGAUGAAGGUCUUAGGAUUGUAAAAUUCUUUCACCGGGGACGAUAAUGACGGUACCCGGAGAAGAAGCCCCGGCUAACUUCGUGCCAGCAGCCGCCGUAAAAC
rnacentral:rRNA from 1 species